rnacentral:rRNA from 1 species
AUUAACGUUGGCGGCGUGCCUAAUACAUGCAAGUCGAAUGGGUUUAGACCCAUGGCAAACGGGUGAGUAACACGUGGGUAUCUGCUCCGAACUGGGAAAUAACCAGCCGAAAGGUUGGCUAAUGUCCCAUGGUCCCGCAAGGGUAAAGAUUUAUCGGUUCGGAAGGAGCCUGCGUCCUAUCAGCUAGCUGGUGAGGUAAUGGCUCACCAAGGCUAUGACGGGUAGCUGGUUUGAGAGGAUGACCAGCCACACUGGGACUGAGACACGGACCAGACUCCUACGGGAGGCAGCAGUCGGGAAUUUUGGACAAUGGCCGAAAGGCUGAUCCAGCGACGCCGCGUGAGGGAAGAAGGCUUUCGGGUUGUAAACCUCUUUUCACUAGGAGGCUGCCACCCCAUACUUUUUAUUGAAAAAGUAUGGGGUGGCAGAUACAGUACUAGUGGAAUAAGUCACGGCUAACUACGU